UAAAAGUACGGAGGAAGUGGGGAUGACGUCAAAUCAUCAUGCCCCUUAUGACCUGGGCUACACACGUGCUACAAUGGGCGGUACAAAGGGUCGCGAACCCGCGAGGGGGAGCCCAAUCCCAAAAGCCGCUCUCAGUUCGGAUUGCAGGCUGCAACUCGCCUGCAUGAAGCCGGAAUCGCUAGUAAUCGCGGAUCAGCAUGCCGCGGUGAAUACGUUCCCGGGCCUU
rnacentral:rRNA from 1 species